CAGGGGAUUGCAGUGGCAAAGCUAGGCUAGGUCUUGGAGGCUGGUGUAAGGCGAUGCGGGUGAAGGCAGGAGGCUGAUGGAGAGACUGGGGGGAAGAAAAGCCGAAAUGGAUUCACGGUGCCUUGGAUGAAGGACGAGAGGGGAACUGCAAGCUCCUUCAACUGGUUCUGUCCGGUGAGAAGUGAUCAAGCUUGGGCUGACAAGAGGCUCAGGGAGCCCUCACGUUCUUUCGCUUUUUUACCUGCCAAUCAAACUGCUACAAGACAACACCCUGAUCUGGCAUGGACAUCGCGGGUCCAAGCCUGUAGCCCCAAAUCGGAUAAUCUCUGCAGCUGAUAACAAGCAAAAGAGAAGCCAGGCAACAGCCAUAUUAAAGAAGAAAACAGUCAACUCUGAGCAGGAAGAAAUGUAAUGAAUUGAGUGCUGUCAGAGAUGUCUUCUGUUUGAACAAUCUGUGAUGGGCUGAAUGGCAGGGACUCCCUCAUCCAGUGCAGAUCCAACUUAGAAAUAAUGUUUCAUUCAAGAUAAGGCUCGUGGUUUAGGAGAUUGUGACCUGGCUUGCAUCAUUCUAAGACUUCUAUCGUCUGUUUUCAAAACCCAAGGAGGACCUCAUUUUCUGUGUGAUAGUUCCUCAUGCUUUGCCAGCCACUGGGUCUUUAAGGAAGCUUGCCAAGAGUUCCCGGCUGGGAAGGACAGUUCGAGUUCAUCAUAGACAAUGAGCUGGCACCACAGUUUAAGUGACUCACCAACCUGGUU
rnacentral:sRNA from 1 species